GAUAGCUUGGCUAUAUACAUGAGGUACCAGUACCUAGUCAAUGAUAGCUUGGCUAUAUACAUGGGGUACCAGUACCUAGUCAAUGAUAGCUUGGCUAUAUACAUGUGGUACCAGUACCUAGUCAAUGAUAGCUUGGCUAUAUACAUGGGGUACCAGAACCAAGUCAAUGAUAGUUUGGCUAUAUACAUGGGGUCAGAACCAAGUCAAUGAUAGCUUGGCUAUAUACAUGGGGUACCAGAACCAAGUCAAUGAUAGCUUGGCUAUAUACAUGGGGUACCAGUACCAAGUCAAAAAUAGUUGCCAAAUGAUGACCGGGAAGUGGCCAGUCUUUAGAGCAGGGCUCUCCAACCCUGUUCCUGGAGAGCUACCGUCCUGUAGGUUUUAACUCCAACCCUGUUCUUGGAGAGCUACCGUCCUGUAGGUUUUAACUCCAACCCUGUUCCUGGAGAGCUACCAUCCUGUAGGUUUUAACUCCAACCCUGUUCCUGGAGAGCUACCNNNNNNNNNNNNNNNNNNNNNNNNNUCAAGUUUAUUAUAUCUCUCUCUCUUUGUCUGGUCCGUUUAUUAUAUCUCUCUCUCUUUGUCUGGUCAGUUAAUUAUAUCCUCUCUUCCUCUUUGUCUGGUCAGUUUAUUAAAUCUCUCUCUCUUUGUCUGGUCAGUUAUAUAUCUCUCUCUCUUUGUCUGGUCAGUUUAUAUAUCUCUGCUCUCUUGUCAUGGUCAGUUUAUCAAUCUACUCUCUCUUUGUCUGGUCAGUUUCAUUAUAUUCUCUCUCUUUGUCUGGUCAAAGUUUAUAUAUCUCUCUCUCUUUGUCUAGGUAGUUUUAUUAUAUCUCUCUCUCCUUGUCUGGUCAGUUUUAUAUUAUCUCUCUCUCUUUUGUCUGGUCAGUUUAUAUCUGCUCUCUCUUUGUCUGGGUCAGUUUUUAUUAUAUCUCUCUCUCUUUGUCUGGUCAGUUUAUGUAUAUCUCUCUCUCUUGUCUGGUCAGUUUAUUAUAUCUCUCUCUCUUGUCUGGUCAGUUUUUAUUAUAAUCUCUGCUCUCUUUGUCUGGUCAGUUUAUUAUAUCUCUCUCUCUCUCUCUGUCUGGUCAGUUUAUUAUAUCUCUCUCUCUCUCUUUGUCUGGUCAGUUUAUUAUAUCUCUCUCUCUUUGUCUGUCAGUUUAUUAAUAUCUCUCUCAUCUUUGUCUGUCAGUAUUAUUAUCUCUCUCUCUUUGUCUGGUCAGUUAUAUAUCUCUUCUCUCUUGUCUGGUCGUUUAUUAUAUUAUCUCUCUCUCUUUGUCUGGUCAGUUUAUUAAAGAUAUCUCUCUCUCUUUGUACUGGUCAAGUUUAUUAUUAAUUCUCUCUCGUUUGUCUGGUCCAGUUUUAUUAUUCUCUCCUGCUUUGUCUAAGUCAGUUAUUAAUUCUGCUCUCUUUGUCUAGUCAGUUUUAUUAUAUCUCUCUGUCUAGUCCAGUUUAUUAUAUCUCUUCCUCUGUCUGGUCAGUUUAUAUAUAUCUCUGUCUGGUCAGUUUAUAUAUCUCUCUCUCUCUUUGUCGGUCAGUUUAUUAUAUCUCUCUCUCUCUUGUCUGGUCAGUUUUAUUAUACUCUCUCUCUCUUUGUCUGGUCAGUUAUUAUUAUCUCUCUCAUCUCUUUGUCCUUGGUCAGUUUAUUUAUCUCUCUCUCCUCUUUGUCUGGUCAGUUUAUUAUCUUUCUCUUUGUCUAGUUUCAGUUUAAUUUAUAUCUCUCUGGUCCUGGUCAGUUUAUUAUAAUUCGUCUCUCUCUCUGUCUAGUCAGUUUAUUAUAUCUCUCUCUCUCUGUCUGGUAGUUUAUUAUAUCUCCUCUCUCUCUGUCUGGUCAGUUUAAAAUAUAACUCUCUCUCUCUUUCUGGGGUUGGUCAGGUUAUUAUAUCCUUCUCUCUCUCUGUUCUUGGUCAGUUUAU
rnacentral:lncRNA from 1 species